rnacentral:sRNA from 1 species
AAGCCUGUGAGGAUCAAUUUUAUUUGGAAUUACCGUCUGAACAUCUUUGAUGUGAAAUUUUGG